GGCGCGGAGGGGGCGGGGCUUGCUCGGGCGGCCGGCGCGGGCCAUGGAGGGGCUGAGGCGCGGGCUGCGGGGCUGCCGGCGCUACCGCAUCCAGGUGCACCUGGCGGACGAGGCGCUGCUGCUGCGGCUGACGGUGCGGCCGCGGGACACGCUCAGCGACGUGCGCGCGCAGCUCGUGGGCCGCGGCGUGGGCUCCUGGCGGCGCAGCUUCUACUACAACGCGCGGCCGCUCGACGACCGGCUGACCGUGCGGGACGCGCGCCUGCGGGACGGCUCGGUGCUGCUGCUGGCGCGCGCCGCCGGGCAGGUAGUCUGGGCUGGAGGAGGCGGAGCUGUGUUGGAGGGUCCCCCGGAGCUGGAAGGGACCCCCGGGGCUGGAGGGUCCCCCGGAGCUGGAGGGGACCCCCCAGAGCUGGAGGAGACCCCCGGAGCUGGAGGGGACCCCCAGAGCUGGAGGGGACCCCCGGAGCUGUGCUGGUGACGACCCCCGGAGCUGGAGGCGACCCCUGGGAGCCUGGAGCUCAGCCUGGGACAGGACAGGACAGGGCACAACUCUUCCUGCAAUUCCUGCGGCUGCCGCCAGGUGGCACCCGACAGCCACACUCAUGGCCCCGGUGCUGCCCCAGGCCCCAGUCAAAGCUGGCAGCCAAGCGGCCUCAGCCCCCGGUUUCCGCGUCGAGAAGCUGAGGCCUGGGCCUGGCCGGCGCCCGGCAGCCACACCGCGGCCAGCGCUGCCUCCCAUCACGUGGCCAUGGACCAAGGAAGAGUGGGGGCAGGGUCUGCGCCUGGGCCUGGAGGCUGCUCCCACUGCCCAGCCCCGCCCCUCAUCUCUGUCCACCUCCUGCUCCCCCACCAGCCCCACCGCGCACUGCCUGUGUUCGGCAAACUCCUGUCCACCUGCCAAAGCCCCGGUGUCAAUGCCCCCUCCUUC